CAGCCAGGAUAGAAUUGUGUUGGGCUUCAAGUACAACUGGAGCAUAAAGCUGAUUACUCACCUCCAUCCAAUGCUGAGAAAGGGUGGAUGCCAGACACCUUCAAACCAUGAUUCUUAUGCAAAGAGACAAUUUUACAUUCACCUUUACCUGAAUGGAAUGGGUCACCAAUGUCCAUUUAGAAUAUCAGUUCAUUUAUCUGUUCAAUGAGAUCAUUCAAGGUUCUGAACUCAUCCUCAUCCUUAUUCAGGUAUUGUACAAUGCAUCCACCGUGAUCCCCUGAAAACUGAAGAGAUGAUCAAUGUUACAAUUGACAAGUGGAGUUAAAGCUAUCUAAAGAUGGCUGACAUCAGCCAAAAUAUGCUGUAAACAAUCAUUAUACUUGUAAUAUAAACAAUGUAUUAUUAACAACAAUGAAUAAUGUGUUGAGAACAUCACACAGUGUUUGUAAGUUGCAUGAUGUUGAUGGACCAAAAUAUUAGUGUUUAAUAAUAAACUACAACAGGAUGAUUCUUUACAAUUUAUA